ensembl:snoRNA
UGGGCCAGUGAUGGUAAAUGGUAGCAGAUGAGUCUGGGUAAUGAAUAAUAUAUGUCUAGAUACUGAGGUCCAA